rnacentral:rRNA from 1 species
AUUGAACGCUGGCGGCAGGCCUAACACAUGCAAGUCGAGCGGCAGCGGGAAAGUAGCUUGCUACUUUUGCCGGCGAGCGGCGGACGGGUGAGUAAUGCCUGGGAAAUUGCCCAGUCGAGGGGGAUAACAGUUGGAAACGACUGCUAAUACCGCAUACGCCCUACGGGGGAAAGCAGGGGACCUUCGGGCCUUGCGCGAUUGGAUAUGCCCAGGCGGGAUUAGCUAGUUGGUGGGGUAAUGGCUCACCAAGGCGACGAUCCCUAGCUGGUCUGAGAGGAUGAUCAGCCACACUGGAACUGAGACACGGUCCAGACUCCUACGGGAGGCAGCAGUGGGGAAUAUUGCACAAUGGGGGAAACCCUGAUGCAGCCAUGCCGCGUGUGUGAAGAAGGCCUUCGGGUUGUAAAGCACUUUCAGCGAGGAGGAAAGGUUGAUGCCUAAUACGUAUCAACUGUGACGUUACUCGCAGAAGAAGCACCGGCUAACUCCGUGCCAGCAGCCGCCGUAAUAC